AGAUGGCGACCGGCGCACGGGUGAGUAACACGUAUCCAACCUGCCGAUGACUCGGGGAUAGCCUUUCGAAAGGAAGAUUAAUACCCGAUGGCAUAGUUCUUCCGCAUGGUAGAACUAUUAAAGAAUUUCGGUCAUCGAUGGGGAUGCGUUCCAUUAGGUUGUUGGCGGGGUAACGGCCCACCAAGCCUUCGAUGGAUAGGGGUUCUGAGAGGAAGGUCCCCCACAUUGGAACUGAGACACGGUCCAAACUCCUACGGGAGGCAGCAUG
rnacentral:rRNA from 1 species